rnacentral:rRNA from 1 species
AUUGAACGCUGGCGGCAGGCCUAACACAUGCAAGUCGAACGGUAACAGGAAGAAGCUUGCUUCUUUGCUGACGAGUGGCGGACGGGUGAGUAAUGUCUGGGAAACUGCCUGAUGGAGGGGGAUAACUACUGGAGACGGUAGCUAAUACCGCAUAACGUCGCAAGACCAAAGAGGGGGACCUUCGGGCCUCUUGCCAUCGGAUGUGCCCAGAUGGGAUUAGCUAGUAGGUGGGGUAACGGCUCACCUAGGCGACGAUCCCUAGCUGGUCUGAGAGGAUGACCAGCCACACUGGAACUGAGACACGGUCCAGACUCCUACGGGAGGCAGCAGUGGGGAAUAUUGCACAAUGGGCGCAAGCCUGAUGCAGCCAUGCCGCGUGUAUGAAGAAGGCCUUCGGGUUGUAAAGUACUUUCAGCGGGGAGGAAGGGAGUAAAGUUAAUACCUUUGCUAAUUGACGUUACCCGCAGAAGAAGCACCGGCUAACUCCGUG